GUCCCCAUCGACUAGCGGUUAGGUCACCACUCUUUCAAGGUGGCGGCACGGGUUCGAAUCCCGUUGGGGACG
rnacentral:tRNA from 1 species